GGGAAGGUGGCUCAGUGGUAGAGCAUUUGCCUUGCAUGCAUGAGGCCCUGGGUUCAA
rnacentral:tRNA from 1 species